CUACUCUAAUACCCAUACAACACUGCUUUCCUUAGAGCCACAGCUACUGCUGAGAACUCAAAAACUUCUUCCUUUCCGGUGAACACGUCUAGACUUGGGCUGGGGAUGGGAUGAAGAUCUCUAACACCUUCCUGGAAAUCAAGAAGUGCAAAUAGGCCACAGGAUUCUGCUGCAAAUUCUAACAGGAGGAGGCAAUGGCAGCCCUUACUAAAACCGCAGAACUACAGGAAGAGGAUCCCUGAGUGGGAUUCCUGUGUGAAAGGCAUUUUCACCUUUUUGUGUAUCUUCAGAAUCUUAACUUUCAUGAGAGAAGAAUAGAAAUGCAACAAUGGAACAAUCCACUGUAUACACGUAGCUGACAAUUUAAUAAACUUGAAGGAAAUGCUA
rnacentral:lncRNA from 1 species